rnacentral:rRNA from 1 species
UAGGGAAUAUUGCACAAUGGAGGAAACUCUGAUGCAGCGACGCCGCGUGAGUGAUGAAGGACUUCGGUUCGUAAAGCUCUGUCGCAGGGGAAUAAAUUUUGAAGGUACCCUGCAAGAAAGGAUCGGCUAACUUCGUGCCAGCAGCCGCGGUAAGACGAGGGAUCCUAGCGUUGUUCGGAAUCAUUGGGCGUAAAGCGGGUGUAGGUGGUUUAUUAAGUCAGAUGUGAAAGCCCUGGGCUCAACCCAGGAAGUGCAUUUGAUACUGAUAAACUUGAGUGUGGGAGAGGCUAGUAGAAUUCCUGGUGUAGUGGUGAAAUACGUAGAUAUCAGGAGGAAUACCGGUGGCGAAGGCGGCUAGCUGGCCCAACACUGACACUGAGACCCGAAAGCGUGGGGAUCA